UUUACCUUUGCUGCUUAAAAUAAUUGUAAAAAUGUCCGUAACUUACUGUUCACCUGAUGUUAUUCACCGAUUUAUCAUUAUCUUUCUAAAACUACAUAAAUGUUAUACAUCAAUCCUUCUUGCGAGGUUCGUUCGCUUAAGAACUCUUUCCCUUUUCAUAUACUCCCACAAAAUUCUUGUCCCCAACUCUUCAAACUCCGUACAUUAAUCUCCAACCAAUUUAUGAAUAAGAAUUCUUUCCUUCUUAAACACAACAGGUGAGAAAAAAGCGAGAACAGAUACAAAAGUUGUUUUCAUAAACCAGUCAUAAAGGAGUGAAGGUAAAGACCCCCCUAUGGUCAUGAAUGACCAUAGGAUUGCACACACAAGUCCAAGCAAGAUUGUUUGUGGAAGACCAGCAGUUGCCCAUGCAUACCAACCUCCCCACUUCAUUGCACUGAUGUUAUCCAUGGGAAACGCAAAGGCCGAUACAGCUUGGCACUCUGUGAUGUCACAACUCAUUUCAGUAGAUGAGUGAACUGGAGCAACAUAAAAUAAAGUGUCUUGCUCAGUUCAGGAAUUGAACUCACUACCUCAUGAUUGUGAGCUUGAUGCUCUAACCACUGAGGGUUCAUAUAAAAAGACUGGAGACGGCACAUGAUAGUAUGAUACAAACAGUGUGGUACUGAAACGUCUAAAUAAAAAAUAACGAAGAUUCUAACAGUUAAAAUCUCCAAAAGAGGGAAACUUCCAAGAGCUGCUCGUGGAAACCCCACAAAAACCAUGAUCACUCUGACCUUAGGGCAAGUGUCCUCUCCUCUUCAUCAACCCUUGAUCGAGAAUUGUGGCAUGCCAUCGAGGUAGGCACUGAAGUCCAUCUUGCAUUCCGGGAUGCCAUUUGUCCCAAACAGUUGGGUGAAGUGCUGCUGAAAUGCCGCACACAUCAGCUUGGGCUUGAGUACCAUCUGCCCAUUUUAUUCCACCAAAGAUCGAAUUGUGGCUUCGUUGUCACAUGUCUCUGCCAUUCGGGCUCAUUGAGUGGCUUUCAUUCCCUCUUGUCUUAAACAAUGCAACCUUCAUGUUUCGCUUUGAAGAAUUGGUUCAGAGUCAAUCUCACAGCCAGUAUGUUGGUUGCAAUGGACUUAUUCUUUGUAAGCCUAGUAUUUAUUCUAUCGGUCUCUUUUGUUGAACUGCUAAAUUACAGGGAUGUAAACACACCAAAGCAUCUUUUUAUAUUUAUAUAUUUAUUUUUUUAUAUAUUCUCUUAUAUUCCAUUUGUUAUUUGCUUAUACACACAAGAGUGUGAAAGACUAAGGGAAUAAACCCCCUACAGAAAAUCAGGAGUGUCUUUAAGGCAGUUGGUGGGGAGGACUGAGCCAAACCAUCUGGUAGCCCCUAGAAUGGAAACAAAACUUCCCUCCGCCGGAUCUCCAGAUGGCGGAUAGGUGAAAAGCCUCCAGAUAUAAAAGUUAGCAAUGAAUAUAAAAAUGAACAGUCCUGAACCAAACAUACUUAGAAGAGUAAACCUCAAUGAUAAAGAAUCCCAGCUUUCAGUUGCAGGGGCUGAUGUGCGGUGGAUGCAAGCUUCAACAAAAUGAUUCAUUAGAUCCACACAAUUUCUGCCUCGCCAAAGGAAAUCCUGUCUCUACAAAUGAAGGAAUGCAAUCUACAGGAGGAGUAUGUGACUUCUGUCAGUAUCAAGCUAUUGAAAAACCAAAAUAACAAAGGGUGGGUGUGCUUUCAUGUUUUACAUCAUUAGAUAUAUACCCUUGUAUUUUCCUCAUGCAAAAACUAAACGAAUAACUUUUAUUUAUUCUACCACGUUGCUCAAGCACGGUGUUGGCUGUUAUAGCUAAAACAAACGAAAGCAUAUAAAAAAAAAUGACAAACAAAAUAAUCAACUACGCGCGAAAAAAAAAAUAUACGCCAAGCGCCCAAGAGACCGCAGUCUCGCCAAAAGUAAAUAAAUAAUCAAAAGUGAAAUCGACAGGUUUAUUAAUAACAGUAAUUAAAAUCGGCUUCUACUUGUUGACUUGACGUACACAUAAAUGACGAAGGUAAAGAGGGUUAGCGUUAGGGUUACACCGGAAACAGGUGGUGUGCGUAUUCUUUACCUCCACUCACAUAAACAUUCUCUGUUAAUUGAAAUCUCCCUCUUAGUUGGCAAAAGAAAAUGCAUGACCAAUUUUUGUUUCAUCUCUUCAAAUAACAGAAAUUUCAAUGAACUGCGAAUAUUUUGCCUACCGGUUUUCAAUGCAUCAUGACUUAACACAAAUUUAAUGGUUAACGUAUAUUGAUCGAACACCGUUAGUAAAAAAUAUCUAUUUCCCGCCAAUAUUCUAAUUUAAGUUGAUAGUUGUUUUCCCCACUUUUAAUCAUCGAAAAUGGUACGCCGUAAAAGUAUUCCCAGGAAUCGCACAUAUUCUUCCAGUGGUUCAACAUCGCCAUUUGAUGAAUUUGACUCCAGUCAACCAACUCGUAGACAAUCUACACACAAUCGAUCUAGGAAGUCAUCUAAAAAAAGACGAUCUCAGAAAACAUUAAGAACCCAAAGGGCUCUUUUAGAAAUCCGGAAAUACCAGAAAUCUUGCAAUCUCUUAAUUCAGAAAUCACCUUUCAUUCGGCUAGUGAGAGAAAUUGGCUCCUAUUUUACUACAGACCUUCGCUGGCAAAGUAUUGCCCUAUUGGCAUUGCAAGAAGCAUCAGAAGCGUAUUUAGUGUCUCUCCUCUCAGACUCUUAUCUGUGUACUUUACAUGCAAAACGAAUCACACUUUUUCCAACUGAUAUAAGACUUACUUUAAAAUUAAGAAAUUGUUAUACAUAAAUCAAAGAAAUUGUGAUGCAUAGAUCAAACUAUUUUUCUUGUCAUGUUAAUACCAUUUGUGUAACAAAUUUCUUUUGAAAAAUAUACACAUUGCACUAACCAUGAAGAAGUAGCAAGAAAAAAUUGCUUUGGAAGGGGCCUUUGGGAGUCACUAUUUGAGAAUUCUAAUUUUUAAAAGUAGCCAAAUGUGAAUGCACAAAACAUUUGUUUUAAGCCUCUCUUGGCCAUUUUAUGUUUUGAGUGUAUUUUUCGAAGCUUUUAGCCACAAAUGUAAAAAGUAACGUGAGUCUAUGGGUUGUGACAAGAAAUAUCUAACAAAGGAGGGCCUUGAAUGAAGUGUUUAAUAGUUCUUCUGCAUUCAUAACAAUUUAAUUUCUUGGUUUCUAAGUUGAUCCUUGACGUUGACCACUUCUAGGUAUUCAUUCUAAUCUUUUGAAACCUGGUAUAAUUGCUGUUUGUUAUUAUAUGACUUUGUAUUGGUGUAUGACAACAUUUACUUCACAUGCAAAAUGAAAUAUUCUUCCUUGAAAGAAAAGUUCACUCAUUGCACUCUCUUUGUAAAAUUUCAUCUUGAAGGAAGUUGGUGACAAUUGCUAGUGCUGGACAAAAUGUCUGGUAAUAAUUUGUCUCUUUUUUUCAUGACCUUUGAUAUCCUGGGAUCAAAUCCUGCUGGAGUCGGCUUGCCAUUUUAUCUCUGGGACUGAUAAGAUAAGUAUCAGUAGCAUAUGAGAAGUUGAUUCGAGCAAGUGUACUUCCUCUAAAUUCCUGGCUACAAGUAAAUGGAAAAAGUUUAAUUUUUAAAAAUUUUGUUACUAUAUUAUUUUCGUAAAUAUUUUAUAUUUUUAAUCUUAAAAAAUGGGAAAAUAUUUUCUGUAUAUUUUUAUAUCCUUACAUGCUAAAAGAUAAUUCCAUGUGCAACUUUGAUAAUUGGAUUUAAUCAGUGUAUCUUGUCCUUUUUAUUUUUUAAAUAACAUUUCUCAGCUUAGAAACAUGAAAAAACAUGAAUAUGAAUUGUGUGUAGCCAUGUUUAUAUAUAAUUUUUACUGUAUUCCAAACAUUAGCUAUAUUUUCUUCAAUAUUUAAGGAAAGAAAUUGAUUAUUUCAACAGUUUGUGUUCAAUAUGGAAAUGUCUAUUAAUUAGCAUUAUUUCAUUGUAAAUAUUUAUAGAUUAUCAUAUUUUAAUACUUUUGUUGAUGUUAUUUAAUUAGUUCUAAUUUUCAGCCAAACCUAUAAAUAUCUGCUGAUUAUUUUUCUAGUUGGAUUUUACUUGUAAAUGUAAUGUCUUAUAAAUGUGAAAAGGAUGUUUGUCCUCAUAUUGUGAAUCAUCUUUUAAAGCAGCUUUGAAAAUAAAUUGAACUCAAUACAUAUGACUUGAUAGAACGUUUUAAAUUUUGAUAGUUCAAAAUGUGCAGCUCAAAUGAGUUGAUGUUUACAGUUUGUACUGAAUGACUAUUAAUCCUUUAUAUUUUUGUGGAAGUGAUUUCUUUUAAAUACAGAAAAAACGGAUGGUUAUAUAGGUUUAUGUUUACAGCUGAUACUAACAAUGUUUCUGCUAAUUAAGUGAGCCUAUCUACCUUUGUGUCUUUGAGGGGUCAGAUGAAACCACGCUUGCUAAAGCAUGCUGAUGAGUUGAAAGGGUUCAAGAUUCUGUUGACAGUGCUCAGUCUUGUUUUGCCUUGAAAAUUUCUUUUUAUUUCUUGAUCUAUCAACUGUUUGAAUAUUUUGAACUUGUCUUGAAGAAAUAUAUUUACCUGUAUGUUUUGUAAGCGACAUGGAAAGAAAAAAACUUCUUGAGUUUUCUCUUAUUGAGAAUCUCAUCAUUGUAAGUGAAAAUUUCAAAUUUUAUUUUUAUUUAUUCAUUGCAUUCAGGUAAUUCCAUGAUAAUCAUCUGCAAACCAUUGAUGCCUUGAGAUUUUGUAAGCUUGAUCCACUGCACCAUUUGUGUUCUCCUUUUGAGAAUAAUAGCAGACAAUGUUAUUGAUAUCCAAAAAAGGCUUUUCAUUGAAUGUAGACCAAAAAAGUUGAUCCAAUGCUUUCACUCUUGUCCUAUAUUCAUAUUUUCUCAUUCAGAAAGUAAAAUCUUUUUUUGUUUUGGUCA